AUUAGCCCGGUUGGCCAGAGCAUCCCGGCUCUUGUCGGGAGGGUCAAGGGUUCGACUCCCUUAUUCUCCA
rnacentral:tRNA from 1 species